CGUAGCUCCGCAAACGCACAUAACGCACACUGCGUAGGGCACCAAAUGGCCGGUAGGGCACCAAAAAAAUCAGGGUCGUAAAAAAAAAAAAGUAAACCAUAUUAAUACUAUAAAUAUCAUAUGCAUUAAUAUGGUUAAACAAUACAAAAGCAACAUAAAACAAUUUUCCCGAGAAAAGGGGUGAAUCUGCUUUGUGCCCUGUCUCCAGUCUCCUCCUGGUGCCCCCCCCACUCCCAGUGGUCUGUUCUAUAAUGCCUCAAUUCGGUAUUGGUAAACACCUGUUUGAACAUGGCCUCGAAACGGCAACAGGAGUCGGGAGCGGAGAAAAGAAAGAAGAAGAGGAAGCGUGAUGAAACUCAGGUGUCGCUUGCCGGUAAGGCAAUGUUUAAAUAAUAACAAUAAAAAAAGUUCAUUAUUGUAGCCCUUGCUUGCACGCUCAUGUCCGUCAACUCUGUGAUAGCUCCUGUUAGCAGUGUUCAUACUGUGUUAACAAAUGUUGCAAAUGAUUGAUGUUGGGUAGUUUGUUUACGUUGUGGAUAUGAAUAUAGAAUGGACUACUAAAAGCAACUCAUCAUGGUCACUCAAUUGACGGUUUUCAGAUAACGUUAGCAAUCGUGAGACUAGCAUUUCCCUCCUCAGGUUGCUAGCUGGCUAACGUCAUGCAUGCUACUGAUUAACCUUAACUUUGGGAUAGGUCAGUGAUGCAGUCAAGUAUUAUUAUCAGAUUAGACAAGAUUACUUUGUAUGUUGCUGCAUUUCAGGAUAUCUAUAAAGACGCAUAUCUUAUUUAUGCGGCAUAAAUAAGAUAUAGGUUUCAUAUUACAGUGUAAUAUGAAACCUAUAUCUUCCAGUAAUAUAGAUUUCCUACUUGCGCAUUUAUAUCAAAUUAUGUACAGCAUGUUUAUAUUGCCAUUUGCCAUUAUGAAAAUCUAUACAUGUAAAAUAUAGUUAGUAAUUUUUAAAUGUACCAGUGACUUACUUAAUUUAUUAGUCUUAUAAUGCAAUUUUUCGUAGGCCUACUGUAGAUUCAAAAUUGUAUUUCUGUAAAAUCCCUGAAUAUUUUCUCUUGUAUGCAGGGUCAAUGCUUAAAUAUGUUCAAGGAGGAUCUCAAGGACAGGAUGAACCAUCCAGUAGUAGUGCCAUCCCUGGACAUCAACCACCAGCCAUUGUAGACCCUGCAACAAUCCCUAGCCAAGAAGAACAAGAACCAUCAACCACCAGUUCAGGAGAGGUUUGAGACCAUGAAUCAAGUGAAGGAGAAAUAUGGAGUGCUGCUUGAUUUCAGCAAAGUGAAUGGGAUGUCCAAGGAGGAUUUAAAAAAACACUGCACUGAAGUACAGAAGACACUGACAGAUAAGGGAGUAGCUGACAUUGAUGGACCUGAGAUGAUGCAGGAAAUCAUCAACCUUCCUCAGCUGCCACCACAGACGUCUGCUUUGGAAAUGCUGUCAUUUUUACAUGACAAUCAGCUUCAAGAGUGGCGGGGGGGGCACCAUAAAGCAUUUGUGCUUAGGGCACCCAAAUGGCUAGCAACGGCCCUG